CCAUUUGGGCACUAUUUUAUAGAUCUUGUAGGUGUACUUUAUUCUUUUUAUUCUUUUUUUUCUUUUGUCUCUCCUGCCUCUGUAUUUUCAAAUAGCCUGUCUUCAAGCACACUAAUUCUUUCUUCUGCCUGAUCAAUUUUGCUGUUGAGAGACUCUGAGGCAUUCUUCAAUUUGUCAGUUGAAUAUUUCAGCUUUAGAAUCUCUGCUUGACUUUUAAAAAAUUAUUUCAUUCUCUUAUUAAGUUUAUCUGAUAGGAUUUUCAAUUCUUUAUGUUAUAUUGAAUUUUGCUUAGCUUUUUCACAACAGCUGUUUCGAAUUCUCUGAAAGGUCACUUAUCUCUGUCACUCUGAAAUUGUUCACUGGUGCCUUAUUCAGUUUAUUUGGUGAGAUCAUAUUUUCUGGGAUGGUCUUGAUAUUUGUGGAUGUUUAUCAAUGUCUGGGCAUUGAAGAGUUAGGUAUUUAUUCUAAUCUUCAAAGUCUGGGCUUGUUUGCACUUGUCCUUCUUGAUAAAGUUUCCCAAGUAUUCAAAGAGAAUUGAGUAUUGUGAUCUAAGUCUUUGGUCACUGCAGCCAUAACUGCAUUAGGAGGCAUGCUAAGUCCAGUAAUGCUGUGACUCUUACAGACUGGUAGAAAUACUGCCUUGGUGGCCUUCAGUAAGAUCUGAGAGAAUUUUUUGGAUUACCAGCCAGAGCCUCUUGUUUUCUUCCCUCACUCUCCCUCAAACAAACAAACAAAUGAAGUCUCUCUUUCUCUCUUUCUGCUGAGCUGCCUGGAGCUGGGGAGGAGUGACACAAGCACUCCAAAGACCACGAUCACUGCACCUGUGUUGGGUCAUUACUGAAGCCAGCAUAGUACUGGGUCUUGUCUAAGGCCUGUUGUGACUGUUGCCUGGCUACCUGAUGUUUAUUCAAGGUCCAAGAGCUCUUUAGUCACCAGGAGGUGGUGAAUCCUGCCAGGCCUGAGCUCUUUCCCUUCAGGGCAGUGGGUUCCCUUCUGACCCAGGGUAGGUCUGCAAAUGCCAUCCAGGAGCUAGUAGGGUCUGGAAUUGGGAACUUUAGAAAUCUACUUGGUGCUUUAUUUUACUGUGGCUGAGCUGGUAUCCAAGUUGUAAGACAAAGUUCUUUUUACUCUUCCCUGUUUUUUCCUCAAGCAGGAUUACCUUCCUGUGGCCACCACAGCUGAGAAUGUGCUGGGUCACACCUGAAGCCAACAUGGUACUGGGUCUCAUGCAAGGCUUGUGGCAACUACUGCCUGGCUGCUGCUAAUGUUUAUUCAAGGACCAAGGGCUCUUUAUUCACCAGGUGAUGAAUUCUGGGUCCUUCCCUUCAGGGGAGGAGGUUACUUUCUGGCCCAAGGUGGGUCUAGAAAUGUUGCCUGGAAACUAGGUCCUAGAAUGGAGGCUUCAGAACUCUGCCCUGUUACCCUAUUAGACUGUAGCUGAGCAGGCAUCCAAUUUGCAAGACAAAUGUCCUCUUUAUUCUCCCCUCUUCUGCCCUUAAGCAAAAGGAGUUUCUGCUGGAGCUGCAAGCUGUGCUGCCUGGAGUUGGGGGAGGGGUCAUGCAAGCACUCCCUUGGCUGCCCCAGCUGGUGUCUCACUGGGUUGCAUGCACUGCAAGUCCACCGGCUCCAAGCCCAGCCCAGCAUCAGGACUUGCCCAGGAAUGGUAGACUUUAUGUCUGAAACUGCCUUUUAAGUUUAUUUAGGAUUCCAGAGCACUUUAGCCUACAGUGGUGGGGCUAGCUGGAACUUAGUUUCCAACUGCUGGAAUGGAUUAUUUCCUUCUGGCUAGGGCUGAUCCAAAUGCUCUUCCAUGGGAACCUGCUGAAUUCUGUCCUGUGUUGCUUUUGGCUGUGACAGGGCAGCACUGAGUUCCAAUGCAAAGUUUCACAAUUACUUCACUCUUCCUCCUCCAAACACACGGACUCUCUCAGCACCACAAGGUACUGCUGGAGAAUGGCGGAUGAGUGGUGUAGACAACUCAAGACCAUCUUUUCUACGCUCUUCAGUGCCUCUUUCCUUGGUAGGAUGUUAAAACUAAGUACUGUGAUCACUCACCUGAUUUUUGGUUCUUAUGAAGGUGUUUUCUUGUGUGGAUAGUUGUUCAAUUUUGGUGUUCCUGCAGUAGAGACAAUCAAUGGAGGGUUCUGUUCAACUCUCUUGGGCCACCUUCUCCAAUCCUGUUCUACUUAAUGUAUCUUGGCAAACUUUCCAUAUCAGUACAGAGAAAGCUUCUUCAUUCUGACUGCUGCAUAGUAUCCCAGUGCUUGAAGGUAGCAUGAUUAAUUUAGCCAUCCAAUUCAUAGGCACAGGUUAUUUGGGUUGCUUUCUAUUACUUGUAAUUACAAACAGUGCUAUUCUGUUAUAUCUUGAACAUAUAUUUUUGUGCACAUUAUAGAAAAUGUCAAAGUGAUUUUCAUGUAGGUUGUUCCAGUGAAUGAGAGUUCUUAUUUUGUCACAUACUUGGCAACCCUGAGAUUAUCAAUACGAUUUAAAUCUGUCUGCCAAACAGAUAGGUUUGUAAAAAUGUACUUUAUUGUUUUAAUGUGAAUUUCUUUGAUUAUAAGUAACAAUUAAGAAUAUUUCCAAAUAUUUGUGAACCAUUUUUCUUUUUUUGUGAGCUGCCUUUUCUUGUCCUUUGUUCAUUUUAAAUCGGGUUGUUUUAGCCUCUUUUAAAUUGAUUUUUAAAACUUGUUAUAUAUUAAUGAUAUGAUUUAGGUUUGUGUCCCCACUCAAAUCUCAUGUCGAAUUGUAAUCCCCAAUGUUGGAGGAGGGGUCUGGUGGGAGGUGAUUGGAUCAUAGGGGCAGAUUUCCCCCUUGCUGUUCUCAUGCUAGUGAAUGAGUUCUCACAAGAUUUGGUUGUUUAAAAGUGUAGCACCUCCCACUUUGCUCUCUUCCUCCUUCUCUGGCCAUGUAAGAUGUGCCUGCUUCCCCUUUGCCUUCUGCCAUGAUUCUAAGUCUCCUGAGGCCUCCCCAGCCAUGCUUCCUGUACAGCCUGUAAACUGUGAGCCAAUUAAACCUCUUUUAUUUAUAAAUUGUCCAGUCUCAGGUAGUUCUUUAUAUAGCAAUGUGAGAACGGACUAAUACAAUUAAGG
rnacentral:lncRNA from 1 species